rnacentral:tRNA from 1 species
GCGGGUGUAGCUUAGUUGGUAGAGCGUCGCCUUGCCAAGGCGAAGAUCAUGGGUUCGAGACCCAUCACCCGCUCCA